rnacentral:rRNA from 1 species
GACGAACGCUGGCGGCGUGCCUAAUACAUGCAAGUAGAACGCUGAAGAGAGGAGCUUGCUCUUCUUGGAUGAGUUGCGAACGGGUGAGUAACGCGUAGGUAACCUGCCUGGUAGCGGGGGAUAACUAUUGGAAACGAUAGCUAAUACCGCAUAAAAUUGAUUAUUGCAUGAUAAUUAAUUGAAAGAUGCAACUGCAUCACUACCAGAUGGACCUGCGUUGUAUUAGCUAGUUGGUGAGGUAACGGCUCACCAAGGCGACGAUACAUGGCCGACCUGAGAGGGUGAUCGGCCACACUGGGACUGAGACACGGCCCAGACUCCUACGGGAGGCAGCAGUAGGGAAUCUUCGGCAAUAGGGGGAACCCUGACCGAGCAACGCCGCGUGAGUGAAGAAGGUUUUCGGAUCGUAAAGCUCUGCUGUAAGAGAAGAACGGGUGUGAGAGUGGAAAGUUCACACUGUGACGGUAUCUUACCAGAAAGGGACGGCUAACUACGUG